CGCGUAGGUGGUAGUGUAAGUCUGGGGUGGAAUCCCAGGGCUCAACCCUGGAACUGCCUUGGAAACUGCAUUACUUGAGUCAGUGAGGGGAGGGUAGAAUUCCUGGUGUAGCGGUGAAAUGCGUAGAUAUCAGGAGGAAGGCCUGUGGCGAAGGCGGCCCUCUGGCGCUGGACUGACACUGAGGCGCGAAAGCGUGGGAGCAAACAGGAUUAGAUACCCUGGUAGUCCACGCCCUAAACGGUGGGCACUAGGUGUAGGGCUCGUAAGGGUUCUGUGCCGAAGGGAAACCAUUAAGUGCCCCGCCUGGGGAGUACGGCCGCAAGGUUGAAA
rnacentral:rRNA from 1 species